rnacentral:rRNA from 1 species
UACGUAGGGGGCAAGCGUUGUCCGGAUUUACUGGGCGUAAAGAGCGUGUAGGCGGCCACGCAGGUCCGUUGUGAAAACUGGAGGCUCAACUUCCAGCCGUCGACGGAAACCGUGUGGCUAGAGUCCGGAAGAGGAGAGUGGAAUUCCUGGUGUAGCGGUGAAAUGCGCAGAUAUCAGGAAGAACACCAAUGGCGAAGGCGGCUCUCUGGGACGGUACUGACGUUGAGACGCGAAAGCGUGGGGAGCGAACAGG